CAGACCUUGUGCUAGCACAGCCUGGCCAUCAGCCCUAGGAGGUACUCCUAAAGCUAAGCCUCGCUUUGGCUGCUUAUGAACUCAGGAGUCACACCUCUGGGGAAAGUAUCAUAGUAUUUUCAGAGGUGGCUCAAAGGAAAAAGCAGUUCCUUGAAACGUUCUGGAGUAGAUCUGGGGCAGGUCAGGAGAUCAUAAGGAAGAGAAAUUACAAUAGCUAAGGGAGGCAGAUGUCAACCAACUUGGAGUGCUGUUACCCCAGUGAAAGGCUGCUGCUGUGUUAAGCGUUUCGGGGCUGCAGGAUUACAAGGGGUGAAAGAAGCCUUCAUGGACCUGCCUCAUCCUCCAGGAUACUAUAAGCCAUACCUUUCCAUAAAACACAUCUGGGUUGAGCUCCAGUGAGAAGAUCAGCUUUAACUGCAGUGAGCAGAAGAGGCUUUGACCACAUCUUUAGCUAGUGCUGGCUGCGCCACGCUGCUUGUCUUUCUCAAAAAGACACCAUUUCUAAGCCCAGAGCUAUGUGGCUAGUGGAGAAGAGCGGAAGGUCACCACGGAAGGCCCUGCCUCUCCUCAAGACCGCUUCUACUGUCAGAAGUA